UUCUUCCUGCGCCCACCCCCACCCGCAGGAAUGCCACAUGGCCUCCGAAGUGGAGCGGUGGGAGCCCGGCUUCGGGAGAGUCCGCUCCGGGGCAGGAAGUGGCCCGUUCCUCCUCUCGCGGAGCGUUUCCGGAGCGCCUACUGUGUGCUCCAGGCUGGGAGUGGGGGCCGUUUGCCGAGGGGAGAAGUAAUGCAAAGCCUGACGUUCGUGAGACCGCUGCCUCCAGCACGUCUCCCGCCGGCGGUGUGAUGGCUCCCAUCGCACCGGGAGGAAACUGAGGCCCAGUGAGCCGGGGCGUUUACCCCAGCUGGUGAGGACCGGGCUCUGCACACGACGCCUCAGCGGCCGCUAGACUCAGGUAGAAGGCUGCCUCGGACACAGCCCCAAAGCACGCAGCUCCUGGGUCUAGACACAAGUGGCGGCCUGAGCACUGUUCCUUCUGGUGGAAGAUUGCAGACUACUACAUACCCCUGACCAGGAGCUGACUUCUUACAGCACCUCUGGGACCUCUGUACAGCAGGAUGUUGUAAUGGGACCCUGAGGCCCCUGAAGACAGUGACUAUGUGGUUUCCGUCCCUGUGAUCCUGUUUCCAGCCCAGAAGACGCACCCAGGCAAAGGUCUGCUGACAUUUAGGAGAUACGACCCAGCUCCUGACUUUACCCCAGAAGAGGUAUAGGCCUACAGGGCCUCCCCCCGGAAGAAGCCCGUGAAGAUGCAGCAAGUAGCGAAGUGUCUGUAGGAACUGACUUGGCAAGCGGAAGACAGAGGCGCUGGGACAAGUCGUGACUACAGGCUUCUUCCUCACGCCCCCGGACCCAUCCUUGAUCAAUUUUUUCCCAGCCACCCUGAAAGCCCAAUAUGGUGACAUUUGGGGAGAUCUCUUUGAAAGAACACCUACCCAAGUGAAGGUCACCAAACUCCCCACCCGCCCCGACAAUGGUGCAGGGUAUGAACUGGGUGAUUAGCGGCUAACAGUCAUAAUUACCAGUGUUCAGUGUCUGCUCAGGAAUCUGCAGUGGCCCAGUCACUGUCCGAGGUCCUUACACCUGCGUCUUACAUUUGAUCCCCUCAGGAGAUGUUUUCACCAUCUCCCCGCGUGCUGCUGAGGAAACGGGGGCUCAGAGAGGUUGAGGGACUUGCUCAGCGUCACACAGCAAGUCACGUUCUAUCUGGUAAGUGAGCGCAGACCCUAUAGGUUUCAAUCUCCAGAACCCUACCUUCCCAGCAACCAUUCUCACAAGUAGUAAAAACACGAGCUCACCGAUGAAUACCACCGCACACGCAUUCCUUCAAGGCUUAGAAGCCACUGCAGAAAGACAAGUUUGGUCUCCUGCUGGUGGAGAGCACACUCCCACAAAGACCUCCAGGCCAAGCCAGCACCCCAGAGAGCACCUGAAGAAAGUGGACUUUACC